UGCGCAGGCGGUUUUGUAAGUCAGAUGUGAAAUCCCCGGGCUUAACCUGGGAACUGCGUUUGAAACUACAAGACUAGAGUGUAGCAGAGGGGGGUGGAAUUCCAUGUGUAGCAGUGAAAUGCGUAGAGAUAUGGAAGAACACCGAUGGCGAAGGCAGCCCCCUGGGUUAACACUGACGCUCGGGCACGAAAGCGUGGGGAGCAAACA
rnacentral:rRNA from 1 species